rnacentral:tRNA from 1 species
GCGCCGGUAGUCUAGUGGUAGGACUAGGGCUUCCCAAGCCCUCAACGCGGGUUCAAUUCCCGCCCGGCGCA